rnacentral:misc_RNA from 1 species
GCCGGAUCCGGUCCAUCCACGCAUAACGAAAAGAAAAGUUCAUCCGGAAGCGGCACUAAAUUCCGGCAACUUUGGUCCACUCCGGCGCCCAAUUUCACGCCGGAGAAUCCCACAUAAGCUGUCUCACCAACUCGAUUGACGGCGAAAUUGCAACCCACCGAUGCAUCGGCGACACCACAAACCUUCCAUGACUCCUCCAGCAACGGCGUUGACGCCACAAGAGCUGCUAAAGUUUCACUAGACUCGAACGAUGAAGCUUCCGAUACCAUAAUUUUCAAUGUUUU